rnacentral:lncRNA from 10 species
GGAGAUCGAGACCACAGUGAAACCCCGUCUCUACUAAAAAUACAAAAAAUUAGCCGGGCGUGGUGGCGGGCGGCCUGUAGUCCCAGCUACUCGGGAGGCUGAGGCAGAAGAAUGGCGGGAACCCGGGAGGCGGAGCUUGCAGUGAACCGAGAUUGUGCCACUGCACUCCAGCCUGGGUGACAGAGCGAGACUCCGUCUCAAAAAAAAAAAAGAAUACCAUACACUGAGUGGCUUAUCAACAACAGGAAUUUAUUUCUCCCAAUUCUGGAUGCUGGGAGUCCAAGGUGCCAGCAGAUUCGGUGUCUGGGGAGGGGCUGUUUCCUGGUCUAUAGAUGGUGCCGUCUUGCUCCGUCCUCACAUGGCAGAAGGGGCAAGGCAGCUCUCUGGGCUCGGUUUCUAGGAGGGUGCUAAUAUAACAGUACUGAGUCUACCUUAAAGAAAAAUUGUGUUUGCUUGAGUAUAAUUACAGCUUUGCUUACGCUUACACACUAUUCAUUAAAAACAGCCUCAGGGAAAGAGGACCUUCAGCAGAGAUAAGAGAGAAGUGCACUGACCAGCAAUCCUGGAAGCGGCUAGCCGCAGGUUUCCACCCACCAGAUGAGAAUAGUUGGGCUGAGGUCGAGGCAGGAGGAUCACGUAAGUCCAAAAGUUUGAGACCAGCCUGGGCAAAAUAGGGAGACCCCGUCUCUAUAAAUAGUAACAAAAUUUAAGUAGGUGUGGCACACGCCUGUAGUCCCAGCUACUCAGGAGGCUGAGGUGGAAGGAUCCCCUGAGCCAGUGAAGUCAAGGCUGCAAUGAGCCAUGCCUGGGCAACAGAGUGAGACUGUCCAAAAAAAAAGCAAAACUAAGACUAAUCUGGCUGGCCUGGUGCAGCCAGCACUUUGGGAGGCUGAGGGGGAGAGAUCAUUUGAGCCCAGGAGUUGGAGACCAGCCUGGGCAACUUGGUAAAACCCAAUCUCUAAAAAAAAUUUUAAAAUUAGCCAGGUGUGAUGGUGCGUGCCUUUAGUCCCAGCUACUGUAGAGGGUGAGGUGGGAGGAUCACCUGAACCUGGGGAGGUCAAGGCUACAGUAAGCCGUGAUCAUGCUACUGCACUCCAGCCUGGGCAACAGAAUGAAACCCUGUUCCAAAAAAAAAAAAAAAAAAAAAAAAAAAAAAAAUAGCUGCACUUGCAAAAGGUCACAUGACAUCCCCGCAAGACAGCAAUCGUAACUACCUGCCUGAGACUGCGCACAUAGCUGCUGUUCCACAAGAAUGCUUUGAUCAUCAUUCGCACUUCCCCAGAUUUCCCUUAAAAACGUGCAUCUGGAGACACAACUUGGAGAGGUGAUCUUUGAACACAAGAGUUCAGUGCCCCUGCCCCCACCUCCCAAGCUGCUGGCUUCUCGAAUAAAGCUACCUUUCCUUUUACCAAAACUUGUCUCUCGAAUGUCGGCGAGUGAGUGGCCUGAACCCGAGUUCAGUUACACUAAUCCCCAUAACCUAAUCACCUCCCAACAUCCCCACCUCCUAAUACCAUCAACUGGGGGAUUAGGGUUCGGUAUAUGAAUUUAGGGGGACAAAAACAUUCAGACCAGAGCAAACAAAGAGCUCAGAAGCUGGACCGCGCACACGGAAGCUGAUAGAAGAGAGAUGGGGCCGGGCGCGGUGGCUCACGCCUGUAAUCCCAGCACUUUGGGAGGUCGAAGCGGGUGGAUCAUCUGAGGUCGGGAGUUCGGGACUAGCCUGACCAACACGGAGAAACCCCGUCUCUACUAAAAAUACAAAAUUAGCCAGGUGUGGUGGUGCAUGCCUGUAAUCCUAGCUACUCAGGAAGGCUGAGGCAGGAGAAUCGCUUGAACCCGGGAGGCGGAGGUUGCGAUGAGCCAAGAUCGCGCCACUGCACUCUAGCCUGGGCAACAAGAGCGAAACUCGGUCUCAAAAAAAAAAAAGAGCGAGAUGGGGUGCCACAUGGUGAGGAAGAAUGUUGCAUGGCAGAGGUGCUGUGACAACUCCCCCUCACUUGGAACAAAAAGAAACUUCACCCUCCCUCGCAUCGUACGCAGACAGCCCCCAGCUGAAACCCCAGCGGUCAAUACAGGCGUGAAAAGAUGGUCAGCCUCCUUAGCAUUCAGGUCUGUGCAAAUGAAAACCACAAUAAGACACUGUUUCACAUCUGCCGUGUUUUCUAUUUAAAAGAUUAAAAAUAUGGGCAAUUUUUUAGUGGACAAUCAUGGAAACUCUCUCAGACUUCUAAUGUGAGAGUAAACAGAAGGAGCAAACUUAAGAAACUAGUUCCAUGUUAUCUUCUAAAGUUAAAGAUACUCAUGCUCUAGACCCAGCAAUUCUGUUCUAGGUAUGUAAGCUAGAAAAUGAUGUUUGGCCAGGCGUGGUGGCUCACGCCUGUAAUCCUAGCACUUUGGGAGGCCAAGGUGGGCAGAUCACUUGAGGGAGGUCAGGAGUUUAAGACCAGCCUGGGCCAACAUGGUGAAACCCCAUCUCUACUAAAAAAAAAAAAAAAAAAAAAAAAAAAAAAGGCCGGGCGCCGUGGCUCAUGCCUGUAAUUCCAGCACUUUGGGAGGCUAAGGU